rnacentral:misc_RNA from 1 species
AGGUCGCUCUUGGGAGGAAG